UACGUAGGGCGCAGGCGUUGUCCGGAAUUAUUGGGCGUAAAGAGCUCGUAGGCGGCUUGUCACGUCGGGGGUGAAAGCCCGGGGCUUAACCCCGGGUCUGCAUUCGAUACGGGCUAGCUAGAGUGUGGUAGGGGAGAUCGGAAUUCCUGGUGUAGCGGUGAAAUGCGCAGAUAUCAGGAGGAACACCGGUGGCGAAGGCGGAUCUCUGGGCCAUUACUGACGCUGAGACGCGAAAGCGUGGGGAGCAAACAGG
rnacentral:rRNA from 1 species